ACAAACAUGGCCGACGGCGGUGAGGUGGAGAGGCUAAGUUUUUGCUUUAUAAGGAGAAAUUCUAGCACAAAUAAGGUAAAAGUCGUCUAUUUGAAGGGUUAUGGCAAUAAAAAUGAUUUUGUGAGCUGAAGGCUGGAUUGUUAAGGCGUUUAGUCACUGAAGCUCCUGACUACCCCUGAAUCAUGCAGGACGUAUUUGCAUUGUAAUUAAUUCAAUUUUGCUUUGAUUUAGAUCAUUCCAGUUUUUUGUUGGAUUUGUUUGUAAUAAAAUGAUGUUUUAUUAA